rnacentral:rRNA from 1 species
AUUGAACGCUGGCGGCAUGCUUUACACAUGCAAGUCGAACGGUAGAGGGGGCAACCCCUCGAGAGUGGCGAACGGGUGAGUAAUAUAUCGGAACGUGCCCAGUCGUGGGGGAUAACGUAGCGAAAGUUACGCUAAUACCGCAUACGAUCUAAGGAUGAAAGCGGGGGAUCGCAAGACCUCGCGCGAUUGGAGCGGCCGAUAUCAGAUUAGGUAGUUGGUGGGGUAAAGGCUCACCAAGCCAACGAUCUGUAGCUGGUCUGAGAGGACGACCAGCCACACUGGAACUGAGACACGGUCCAGACUCCUACGGGAGGCAGCAGUGGGGAAUUUUGGACAGUGGACGCAAGUCUGAUCCAGCCAUUCCGCGUGCAGGAUGAAGGCCCUCGGGUUGUAAACUGCUUUUGUACGGAACGAAAAGGUCUCUCUUAAUACGGGGGACUCAUGACGGUACCGUAAGAAUAAGCACCGGCUAACUACGUGCCAGCAGCCGCAGUAAGAC